AGAGUUUGGAGAAGUGCUGUGGCUGGAAGACCAAGACCAAGACCAAGACCAAGACCAAGACCUUAGACUCUGGGGCCCAAUUCACUGGUGUCCCACUGCUUCUUUGUGCUAGCUAAGCUGUGGACCACUAUUAAUUGGUGCAGUUUAUAGCAGUCUUCAGAUUGUUUUAGUCUAUGCCAAGAGACCGGCCCAGUGCUGAAACAGAUUUCCCAGAAAAAUUAUACUUUGUGAUGAGAUGCUGCCUGUGACAUUACAGAACGAUGCUGCAUUUCUUCAGGUGCUGCUCGCCUUUCUUUUCAACUGCUCAUCCUCAGCUGUUGCUCCUUUUAUUCCUGCUACUGGUGAAGGGUGAGUGUCUGGAGAUGUCUCUUUGUACUACAGUG